rnacentral:rRNA from 1 species
AUGUUUCCGUUAAUCAAGAACGAAAGUUAGAGGUUCGAAGGCGAUCAGAUACCGCCCUAGUUCUAACCAUAAACGAUGCCAGCCAGCGAUCCGCCGAAGUUCCUCCGAUGACUCGGCGGGCAGCUUCCGGGAAACCAAAGCUUCUGGGUUCCGGGGGAAGUAUGGUUGCAAAGCUGAAACUUAAAGGAAUUGACGGAAGGGCACCACCAGGAGUGGAGCCUGCGGCUUAAUUUGACUCAACACGGGAAACCUCACCAGGCCCGGACACCGGAAGGAUUGACAGAUUGAGAGCUCUUUCUUGAUUCGGUGGGUGGUGGUGCAUGGCCGUUCUUAGUUGGUGGAGCGAUUUGUCUGGUUAAUUCCGGUAACGAACGAGACUCUAGCCUGCUAAAUAGACGAUUUCCGGUAUCCACAAUAGUGCUACCGGCGAAAUCAAUAUCUUCUUAGAGGGACAGGCGGCUUUCAGCCGCACGAAACUGAGCAAUAACAGGUCUGUGAUGCCCUUAGAUGUCCUGGGCCGCACGCGCGCUACACUGAAGGAAUCAGCGUGUACACCCUGGCCGAAAGGCUCGGGCAACCCGUUGAACCUCCUUCGUGCUAGGGAUUGGGGCUUGCAAUUGUUCCCCAUGAACGAGGAAUUCCCAGUAAGCGCGAGUCAUAAGCUCGCGUUGAUUACGUCCCUGCCCUUUGUACACACCGCCCGUCGCUACUACCGAUUGAAUGAUUUAGUGAGGUCUUCGGACUGGUGCGCGGCGGCCGCCUGCGCGGCCGCCGAUGCCACCGGGAAGAUGACCGAACUUGAUCAUUUAGAGGAAGUAAAAGUCGUAACAA